rnacentral:lncRNA from 1 species
UGCUACCCAGUGGAAAAUUUUCUUAACCGCAGCAUCAGGGAAAAGAAUUGAGUAUCAAGGUGGUCCGCUCCUACCUGAGGAGGCAUAUCCAUGCUAAGCUAUCAUGUCUUUGAGUUGUAUAAGUCAAAAAGUUGGUAGUCAAGAUGGAUUUAAUCAGCUAUAAAUAAUAGGCAUUCUAUGGAAAAUUUGAGAGUGUCUUUGGUAUGCAAGUUGUAAAGUGGAGGG